rnacentral:rRNA from 1 species
UACGGAGGGUGCGAGCGUUAAUCGGAAUUACUGGGCGUAAAGCGCACGUAGGCGGUCUGGUAAGUCGGAUGUGAAAGCCCCGGGCUUAACCUGGGAAUUGCAUUCGAUACUGCCUGACUGGAGUAUGGGAGAGGGAAGCGGAAUUUCCGGUGUAGCGGUGAAAUGCGUAGAUAUCGGAAGGAACAUCAAUGGCGAAGGCAGCUUCCUGGCCCAAUACUGACGCUGAGGUGCGAAAGCGUGGGGAUCAAACAGG